UACAGAGGUCCCAAGCGUUGUUCGGAAUCACUGGGCGUAAAGGGUGCGUAGGCGGGGCUUUAAGUCAGGGGUGAAAUCCUGGAGCUCAACUCCAGAACUGCCUUUGAUACUGAAGAUCUUGAGUUCGGGAGAGGUGAGUGGAACUGCGAGUGUAGAGGUGAAAUUCGUAGAUAUUCGCAAGAACACCAGUGGCGAAGGCGGCUCACUGGCCCGAUACUGGCGCUGAGGCACGAAAGCGUGGGGAGCAAACAGG
rnacentral:rRNA from 1 species